rnacentral:tRNA from 1 species
GCCCAGAUGGUGGAAUUGGUAGACACGCNNNAGACUUAGGAUCUAGUGCCGCAAGGUGUGUAGGUUCGAGUCCUAUUCUGGGCA